rnacentral:rRNA from 1 species
UGUUAGGAGAAGUCGUAACAAGGUUUCCGUAGGUGAACCUGCGGAAGGAUCAUUACCGAGUGCGGGUCUUUAUGGCCCAACCUCCCACCCGUGACUAUUGUACCUUGUUGCUUCGGCGGGCCCGCCAGCGUUGCUGGCCGCCGGGGGGCGACUCGCCCCCGGGCCCGUGCCCGCCGGAGACCCCAACAUGAACCCUGUUCUGAAAGCUUGCAGUCUGAGUGUGAUUCUUUGCAAUCAGUUAAAACUUUCAACAAUGGAUCUCUUGGUUCCGGCAUCGAUGAAGAACGCAGCGAAAUGCGAUAACUAAUGUGAAUUGCAGAAUUCAGUGAAUCAUCGAGUCUUUGAACGCACAUUGCGCCCCCUGGUAUUCCGGGGGGCAUGCCUGUCCGAGCGUCAUUGCUGCCCUCAAGCCCGGCUUGUGUGUUGGGCCCUCGUCCCCCGGCUCCCGGGGGACGGGCCCGAAAGGCAGCGGCGGCACCGCGUCCGGUCCUCGAGCGUAUGGGGCUUCGUCUUCCGCUCCGUAGGCCCGGCCGGCGCCCGCCGACGCAUUUAUUUGCAACUUGUUUUUUUCCAGGUUGACCUCGGAUCAGGUAGGGAUACCCGCUGAACUUAAGCAUAUCAAUAAGCGGAGGAAAAGA